UCUCCUCCUUCCUAGGCACGCAUUAACCCAGACCCAAAAUCCUCCAAGGCGGUGUAGCUGGGCGAUAGCAAGAGCUUGCCGACGGUGGCGGCGUAGCUGAGCGAUAGCAAAAGCCUGUCGACGGUGGCGGCGGGCCAGAUCCGGUGCCUACCUGGGCGAUUGCGCCCAGUGGAGGUCCAGAUCCAGCACCCCGCCGUCUUGUCGCCGGCGUCCUGGCUGCCCUGGCAGACCUCCCCUGUGCGGACAAAUGCUCUGCUCUGACGUCCUGCCCCGGCGGACCGUCUCCAAGGUACUCUUCUCGGGAAAACCUCCCGCAUUGUUCACACGUCGCUCGCACCCCUCCGCCGUAUGGGAACGUUGAAGAAGAAAUCUUCAGUAUUCAGCCGUGGAAUCGGUCAAUAGUGUUCAAAAUCAAGAUUUCAGUGAUGCUACCUCAUUUGCAGAGAUUAAUUCUCCAAUGCUUCUCAUUGAUGAUGUGAUUACACCGAAAAAGAAACAAGCCCGCUCUCAGGAGAUGCAUGAUGCUCUGACAAGCAGAAACAUCAGGACUACAGACGGAUGGAAGAAGCUAUUAUCAAAGUCUCCCCUUUCUAACAAUUGAGAGUUUCUCUGCAAGAUAAAUUUAACUCUGUUCUUGAUCAUGCUUAUGUGUGUGUCUGUGCUCAACUAAAUCGUGUUUUCUUGCUGUGAUCUCUCCCAGAACAAGAAGCUUGAUGAGCAAGAAGUAGUAGAACUGGAGGGAAAUGCUAGAGCUUUUCUAUGAUGUACCAUCAAGAUAGUAGAGCUUAUCAUUUUAAAUAGCAAUGUCUGUUGAGUGGUGACCAUAUUAGUCCUUAAUACUCUGUCUUGCUAGCAGACGGCAAAGAUCUGACAGAUGGCAAAGUAGCUGAUUCCAGUAGUGUGUAUGCUUGUGAUAUGCUCAAUCUGGGAUGGCCGAGUCGAAUGUUUAGUUAUGCUUCAAAGGGUGGGUUAAUUUUUUCUAUGCACUCGCAUAUUUGUCAUACAUAUUGACAUACUUUACAGUGACAAUCAUAUUCA